rnacentral:rRNA from 1 species
UGACCUCAGAUCAGGCAAGAUCACCCGCUGAGUAAGCAUAUCACUAGCGAGAAAGAACUACGAGGAUUUCUUAGUACGCGAGCGACCGAGUAGC